rnacentral:rRNA from 1 species
UACGUAGGCAGCAAGCGUUGUUCGGAUUUACUGGGCGUAAAGAGCGUGUAGGCGGCCCGGUAAGUCCGCUGUGAAAGUCGGGGGCUCAACCCUCGAAUGCCGGUGGAUACUGUCGGGCUAGAGUGCGGAAGAGGCGAGUGGAAUUCCUGGUGUAGCGGUGAAAUGCGCAGAUAUCAGGAGGAACACCGAUUGCGAAGGCAGCUCGCUGGGACGUAACUGACGCUGAGACGCGAAAGCGUGGGGAGCAAACAGG